AUUACAAACACACACACACACAUAAAUAUAUCCCAUAUAUAUAUAUAUAUAUAUAUCAUCUUUAUAAUCUGCAAUUAGGUAACGAUUCUUGAUUAGAGUAGCAUCAAUCAAUAGGUAGCAUCAAUCAAUCAACAACAUCCGCAGAAUUCUUGAUUUUCGACUUUUGUGGAAUAAAGGAUAAUGAAAACCAAGAUAAAGAUGGCAGAUCCUAGAACAAGAAUAAUCGUUGUAAAUCCAGAAUGUGUUUCUCUGGUACUUGCUCCCCCUAGCCGCCAUGGUGGGUUCAUUCUUUACCGGAGCUUAAAGUGCCAACCGAAGUUACCAGAAUUGAGCGCUACUCAAGUAGCAAGGAAGAAGCUUUGGCGAAAAAAUUAAGCGGUGGUAUACUUAUCAAGUGCAGUUUGUGAGUGAUAUGAAUGGUGUUUUACGAGCCAUCGGGAGGGUAGAUGGCUUUUUCAAUAUUCCGCGGGCCUUGAGGGCAGUACUUGAAGAGACAGCCUCCAGCCUCGCCAGAUUUGCAUUGGAGCUCCACUCAUUGACAUUUGAACAGAUGUAUGUUUACAUUCGCCUUCGCGGACUAAAGAGGUCAGACUCAAUAUUGUAUCCUGCUGAUUCACCAGACGGUUGUGACUUCGAGUGCGUGAUUUGUAGUGAUAAACUAGCUGAAUCCCCACCUAACACCAAGCUGUUAUUGUUUGACUGCGAUCAUCUACACCAUUUGGAUUGCAUCUCUUUUUGCAUCUACACCAAGCUGUUAUUGUUUGCAGAAACACCAUGCUACCAAUUCACACUUUGGCAGCCGUUUGGAACAGAAAAAACUGAUGUAAAACAAAGUUGUCAAUUCUUUUAAUCUUUGUUUCUCUUAGAACCUUAGCAUAAGACAACUGUUACAAGAUAUUCAGAUAGAUAUUAUUCUUUUGGUACAUAUAGGAUAGUUCUUUGUAACUGGGCUGACUUAAGUCUGCUCUAAACGCAUUCAUUCAUUUCUAUGGGACAGAAAUAAAAGGUUUUAUAUUUUUAGCA